GGCUUUUAGAGCAGAAACUGUGGUGUUCAGUAACAGAUGUGCUGUGCUGUUUGACCUGAUAUAAAUGGCUGUGGAGUGCUGAUUUUGCUAAUUCUGGGACUGUUUCUCAGGGGCUUGUUUUUAUCUCUUCCUUUGAUGUCAGGCUGUUUGCCAUCAUUUCUUACUGCCUUUAGUGUGAUCACUGCUAAUCUCUCUUCCCUUCUUCCUCGUCCCCCUUCUACUUUUCUGCUUUUAAUUUGUGGUGGGCUGGGAGUCUACAUAAAUGGGCUUGUUAGGAGUGUGUGUUAAUUAAGAGUCAAUUAGACAUAGUUAAAGUGCAUUGCUUUGUGACUGGUGUUUCCGGGGCUUCAAGCCUGCUUUGCUUCCUUCCUGCUUCUCAACAGAGUUCCAGAAGGCAGAGGUUGAGAGACGCCUGACCUCUGGCUGCUGUUCUUUUGUCACCAGUUUAUUUUUCUUUGAAAAUCUGAAAGGCAUCAAGGCUCGCCCGAAAGUCAUCAGGAGCAGAACUGGUGUCCCAGAUGCCUCAUUACUGGUCUCGUUUACAAGCCUGUUUGGUUGUUUAUGUCUUGCAUUCAAAUCAUUUAUUUUGUUCAAACCCUCUUUUGCUUUGGAAAUGAUUUUAGAACACCGGACUGCUUUAUCACUCAACCGUUUGCCUUGCUGGGUAACAGGAACAUCAUGGUUUAAUCAACAUCGCAAUUUCCCAGUAAUCUCUGGGCAGGCCUUAUUUGGUAAAUAUCAAAAAGUGUAGAGCUCCAAGGGCUCUUUCACAAUGACCCCGGGGUCUGAGUGCCUUUGUUGGAAAGCAAAAACUGUUGUUCAUAUGAAAUCAUUGUGAUUUUGGAAGAUGUUCAUCUGUAAACCUAAAUGUCACGUGGGGUGGUUUAGAACUUGCAAGGGCUUUCCUCUCACAGCCAAGAAGAUUGGCUGCUAAAACUAGCCAAGGCACUUGUGGAGCUGGGGUACCGUGGAUAUUAGGGGAAUGCAUUAUAUUGCGAGCAGCAUGGCUGAGAGCUUACGUGCUGGUUCUGGAAGAGUCAGAGAGACCUAAGUUCAAAUCCUAGCUUGGGCAAGUUUUCUUAACCUCUGAUGCCUUAGUGAUCCCAAAUGUAAAAGGAAAAUGAGCAGCAUCUAACUGCUAGAGUUGUAAUGAGAAUUACAUCAGUUAAUGCUUGGAAAACCCUAGGCAAGAAGGUCAGUCGUGCAGUCAAUUCAAUAAAUGCGAAUUAUUACUAUUA